GACGAACCGUCCAAACGUUAUUCGGAAUUACUGGGCUUAAAGGGUUCGUAGGCGGCCUCGUAAGUGAGAUGUGAAAUCCCACGGCUCAACCGUGGAAGUGCAUUUCAUACUGCAAGGCUUGAGGGAGACAGAGGUAAGCGGAACUGAUGGUGGAGCGGUGAAAUGCGUUGAUAUCAUCAGGAACACCGGUGGCGAAAGCGGCUUACUGGGUCUCUUCUGACGCUGAGGAACGAAAGCCAGGGGAGCGAACGGG
rnacentral:rRNA from 1 species